rnacentral:tRNA from 3 species
GGAGGGGUGUCUGAGUGGUUGAAAGAACCGGUCUUGAAAACCGGCGUGCCGCAAGGUACCGGGGGUUCGAAUCCCUCCCCCUCCGCCA